UUCCGGUUGAUCCCGCCGGAGGUUACUGCUAUUGGGGUCCGACUAAGCCAUGCGAGUUGAAUGUCCGAAAGGGCAUAGCGCACUGCUCAGUAACACGUGGACAACCUGCCCUGAGGACUGGAAUAAUCCCGGGAAACUGGGGAUAAUACCCCAUAGAUCAGGGACGCUGGAAUGCCUCCUGAUCGAAAGGUCCGCCGCCUGAGGAUGGGUCUGCGGCCGAUUAGGUUGUUGUUGGGGUAACGGCCCAACAAGCCUUUGAUCGGUACGGGUUGUGAGAGCAAGAGCCCGGAGAUGGAUUCUGAGACACAAAUCCAGGCCCUACGGGGCGCAGCAGGCGCGAAAACUUUACAAUGCGAGAAAUCGUGAUAAGGGAACCCCGAGUGCCCGUAAAUUCGGGCUGUCCAUCAGUGUAAAAAACUGGUGAAGAAAGGGCCGGGCAAGACCGGUGCCAGCCGCCGCGGUAAUACCGGCGGCUCGAGUGGUGGCCACUAUUACUGGGCUUAAAGCGUCCGUAGCUGGAUUGUUAAGUCUCUUGGGAAAUCCGCCGGCUUAACCGGCGGGCGUUCAGGAGAAACUGGCAAUCUAGGGACCGGGAGAGGUGAGAGGUACUCCAGGGGUAGGAGUGAAAUCCUGUAAUCCUUGGGGGACCACCUGUGGCGAAGGCGUCUCACUAGAACGGCUCCGACAGUGAGGGACGAAAGCUGGGGGAGCAAACCGGAUUAGAUACCCGGGUAGUCCCAGCUGUAAACGAUGCGCGUUAGGUGUAUCGGUGACCACGAGUCAUCGAGGUGCCGAAGGGAAACCGUGAAACGUGCCGCCUGGGAAGUACGGUCGCAAGGCUGAACUUAAAGGAAUUGGCGGGGGAGCAC
rnacentral:rRNA from 1 species